rnacentral:rRNA from 1 species
CAAUAGCGAACAAGUACCGUGAGGGAAAGUUGAAAAGUACUCUGAAGAGAGAGUAAACAGUACGUGAAACCGUAUAAAGGUAAACGGGUGGCGUCAAGCUGCAAGCCUGGGGGAUUCAGCUGGUCAUCAUGUUGUGUAUACGUCCUGUGUAUUUCAGUCGGUAAUAGGCGAGUAGUCCACUGGGUAACGGUGGGCCCGACCGCAAGGUUGGGAUGUAUGUGCCACACGGUCUGUGGUAUACGCUGCUCAACUAUUGGACUGGAUGGCCAGUGCACUUCCCCUGUCAAGGUGAACACCACGACCGGUGGAACUGCCAGUCUGGUAUGGUCAAGUUGUGUCCAACUGCGCUUUCGGGUGCAUUGGAUGCAAUCACAGGCAAAUUCGGUGGACGGUGAGUAGGUUUCGGCUUGCUCAUGUUAUCGGUCAUCGGUUGUCAACGGUUCGUUCGUCGGCUUUGUGUUUGCAGUACCUGGCGGAUGAUCUGGUGGACCAUACUGGUAAGAAUAACUGUGCAGGGCACCGGAGUUAUCGGUCUCUAUUUUCCGGUUGGCGGGCACACUGCAAGUGUGUAUGGAGAUGUCAUUGCGGCCUGUCGUUGGCUAGGUCUGAUUGUCGUGUUGCCUGCGCAAAGUAGGUCCGGCAGUGGCUUGGCUACGGUUGGUGCAUGUAGUGGCAUUUCUUUGUCAGUCGGUGUGGGCCGUAUAGUCUGUGGUGUAGUGGUAGAUUAGCUACCCGACCCGUCUUGAAACACGGACCAAGGAGUUCAACAUGCACGCGAGUCAAUGGGCACUUCCGAAACCCAAAGGCGCAGUGAAAGUGAAGCUACACGUUGUCUUCGGAC